UACAGAGACUGCAAGCGUUAUUCGGAUUCACUGGGCGUAAAGGGUGCGUAGGCGGUUUGGUAAGUCUGAUGUGAAAUCUAUGGGCUCAACUCAUAGUCUGCCAUCGGAAACUGCCGGGCUUGAGUAUGGGAGAGGUGAGUGGAAUUCCUGGUGUAGCGGUGAAAUGCGUAGAUAUCAGGAGGAACACCUGUGGCGAAAGCGGCUCACUGGACCAUAACUGACGCUGAUGCACGAAAGCUAGGGGAGCAAACAGG
rnacentral:rRNA from 1 species